AUUUCUCUCUGUUUGAUCACAGGCUCUAGUUCUCAUGGGGGACUCCAGUCACCCUGACAUCUUCUGGGAGAGCAAUACAGCAGUGCACAGACAAUCCAGGAAGUUUUGGAGAAUGUUGGGGACAACUGCCUGGUGCAACUGCUGGAGGAACCAACUAUGGGCAGAGCUCCU